AUCUUUUUUUAAUAUUGGAAGCUUAAAAAUUUUUUUAACCAAAAUUAUUCUCAAUAAUUUUCUCCAUUAAAUACAUUAAAAAACUAAAAUAUAAUAUAUUUUAGCCUACGAACAAAACUCUCUUUUUUUUAGUCGACAAAAAAAUACAUGCAUAUUGUUAUUUGAUUUAUUUUUUAUUAAAUAGGAAAAAAAAUUAAAUCUAUCUUUUAUUUCAAAAUUACUAUUGCUGAUUAGGAAUGUGAAUUGAUAUAGGUACACAAUUUUAUUUGAAUUCGAUUUUAAAUGGGGUGAGCUUAAUCGAUACUGAGUACGGAUAGUUUCAGUUAAAGUUACAAAAAAAAUAAAAUCACAUUAUAUUCAAACUCAAUUAUGGUUUUGAUUUAUAUCUAAACCAAACCUGAACCGAAAUCCGAAGCCGAAAACAAAACCAAAAUCAUAUAAAAACAUACUAUAUAUAAAAUACAAUUUUUAUAUAUUUUUUAAUAAUUAAUAUAUAUUAAUAAUUUAAUUUAAUAUUUAGUAUAUUAAAUAAUUAAAUUUAGGUUUAUAGAAAUUGUCUUGAAAUAUCUAUUAGUAUUUCUACUGUUAAUAGGAGAUAAAGGGUAAAAAUGGCAUUUUAAAAAUAUAACUCUAUUUUAAAGGGACUUUGACAGAACUUAACUAGUGAAGGGCAUAUAUGAUAAUUUUUGAUAUAUUGGAGGGCAUUCAUGAAAUUAUCGAUUUUAGAAGGGCAUUGAUGAAAUUAAUAGUCCCUGGAAGGGCAUCUAUGAAAUUAU
rnacentral:lncRNA from 1 species